AGCUCCAAUAGCGUAUAUUAAAGUUGUUGCAGUUAAAAAGCUCGUAGUUGGAUUUGGGACUGGAGUCGUCGGGUCGGCCGCGAGGUCUGUUACUGGACGGCUCCGUCAUUUCAUCUCUCGGAGACCCGUCGUGCACUUCGCUGUGCGCGGCGCGGGACUCGGGACGUUUACUUUGAAAAAAUUAGAGUGUUCAAAGCAGGCUUUUCAAGCCCGGAUACAUGAGCAUGGAAUAAUGGAAUAGGACCGCGGUUCUAUUUUGUUGGUUUCUACGACCGCAGUAAUGAUUAAGAGGGACAAUUGGGGGCGUCCGUAUUUCGUUGUCAGAGGUGAAAUUCUUGGAUUUGUUAAAGAUGGCCCAGUGCGAAAGCAUUUGCCAAGAAUGUUCUCAUUGAUCAAGAAC
rnacentral:rRNA from 1 species